GACGAACGCUGGCGGCGUGCUUAACACAUGCAAGUCGAACGGAAAGGCCCUGCUUUUGUGGGGUGCUCGAGUGGCGAACGGGUGAGUAACACGUGAGUAAUCUGCCCUUGACUUUGGGAUAACUUCAGGAAACUGGGGCUAAUAUCGGAUAGGAGCUCCUGCUGCAUGGUGGGGGUUGGAAAGUUUCGGCGGUUGGGGAUGGACUCGCGGCUUAUCAGCUUGUUGGUGGGGUAGUGGCUUACCAAGGCUUUGACGGGUAGCCGGCCUGAGAGGGUGACCGGCCACAUUGGGACUGAGAUACGGCCCAGACUCCUACGGGAGGCAGCAGUGGGGAAUAUUGCACAAUGGGCGGAAGCCUGAUGCAGCAACGCCGCGUGCGGGAUGACGGCCUUCGGGUUGUAAACCGCUUUCGCCUGUGACGAAGCGUGAGUGACGGUAAUGGGUAAAGAAGCACCGGCUAACUACGUG
rnacentral:rRNA from 1 species